rnacentral:rRNA from 1 species
CUUGCAAACUAAAGAUGGCGACCGGCGCACGGGUGAGUAACACGUAUCCAACCUGCCGGUAACUCGGGGAUAGCCUUUCGAAAGAAAGAUUAAUAUCCGAUAGUAUAUUAAAACCGCAUGGUUUUACUAUUAAAGAAUUUCGGUUAUCGAUGGGGAUGCGUUCCAUUAGUUUGUUGGCGGGGUAACGGCCCACCAAGACUACGAUGGAUAGGGGUUCUGAGAGGAAGGUCCCCCACAUUGGAACUGAGACACGGUCCAA